rnacentral:rRNA from 1 species
AUUGAACGCUGGCGGCAUGCUUUACACAUGCAAGUCGGACGGCAGCACAGAGAAGCUUGCUUCUUGGGUGGCGAGUGGCGAACGGGUGAGUAACAUAUCGGAACGUACCGAGCAGUGGGGGAUAACUAAUCGAAAGAUUAGCUAAUACCGCAUAUCUUCUGAGGAAGAAAGCAGGGGACCAUUUGGCCUUGCGCUGUUUGAGCGGCCGAUAUCUGAUUAGCUAGUUGGUGGGGUAAAGGCCUACCAAGGCGACGAUCAGUAGCGGGUCUGAGAGGAUGAUCCGCCACACUGGGACUGAGACACGGCCCAGACUCCUACGGGAGGCAGCAGUAGGGAAUUUUGGACAAUGGGCGCAAGCCUGAUCCAGCCAUGCCGCGUGUCUGAAGAAGGCCUUCGGGUUGUAAAGGACUUUUGUCAGGGAAGAAAAGGGCGGUGUUAAUACCCCUGUCUGAUGACGGUACCUGAAGAAUAAGCACCGGCUAACUACGUG